GAUGAACGCUAGCGGCAGGCCUAACACAUGCAAGUCGAGGGGCAGCACGGAAACAGCAAUGUUUUGGUGGCGACCGGCGGACGGGUGCGUAACGCGUAUGCAACCUACCUUUAACAGGGGGAUAACGGAGAGAAAUUUCCACUAAUACCCCAUAACAUCGAUCAAGGCAUCUUGAUUGGUUGAAAACUCCGGUGGUUAAAGAUGGGCAUGCGUUGUAUUAGGUAGUUGGUGAGGUAAUGGCUCACCAAGCCUACGAUACAUAGGGGGACUGAGAGGUUAGCCCCCCACACUGGUACUGAGACACGGACCAGACUCCUACGGGAGGCAGCAGUGAGGAAUAUUGGUCAAUGGGGGCAAUCCUGAACCAGCCAUGCCGCGUGCAGGAAGACGGCUCUAUGAGUUGUAAACUGCUUUUAAACAGGGAUAAAGCACAGUAUGUGUACUGUGUUGAAGGUACUGUAAGAAUAAGGAUCGGCUAACUCCGUGCCAGCCGCCGCCGUAA
rnacentral:rRNA from 1 species